GACGAACGCUGGCGGCGUGCCUAAUACAUGCAAGUUGAGCGCUGAAGGUUGGUACUUGUUCCAAUUGGAUUAGCAGCGAACGGGUGAGUAACGCGUGGGGAAUCUGCCUUUGAGCGGGGGACAACUUUUGGAAACGAAUGCUAAUACCGCAUAAAAACUUUAAACACAAGGUUCAAGUUUGAAAGAUGCAAUUGCAUCACUUAAAGAUGAUCCCCCGUUGUAUUAGCUAGUUGGGGAGGUAAAGGCCCAUCAAGGCGAUGAUACAUAGCCGAACUGAGAGGGUGGUCGGCCAAAUUGGGACGUAGACAACGCCCAAACUCCUAACGGAGGCCGCCGUAGGGAAUCUUCGGACAUGGACGGAAGUCUGACCGAGCAACGCCGCGUGAGUGAAGAAGGGUGUCGGAUCGUAAAACUCUGUUGGUAGGGAAGAAAGUUGGUGAGAGUGGAAAACUCAUGAAGUGACGGUAACUAACCAGAAAGGGACGGCUAACUACGUG
rnacentral:rRNA from 1 species